CCUGGUGCCUCUAGCGGCGGGGCAACACCCGAUCCCAUACCGAACUCGGCAGUUAAGCCCGCCAGCGCCGAUGGUAGUCGUCCUUCAGACCGCAAGAGUAGGUCGGCGCCAGGA
rnacentral:rRNA from 1 species